AGAGUAUGUUUAGCGAUAUAACAAAAAGGAUAGAAAAUUUAGAAUCGGUCAUUCAUGUUCUACACCAAAAAAUUGAUUUGAUCAUGGGACAACAGAAAACUUCCACAAAUAGUAGUUCCAUGUUGGAUCCUACUGUAGUUGUGCAUUCUUUGGAAAGUACAAAAACUAGUGAUCUUACUGGUAUCAUGCCAAUUCAACCCAAGAAGUUAUUCCACUUGGAUAUUACUCGUGAAGCUACAACUCCACCUAAUGGACAAUCACAUGUUAGAGUAGGAGCUGUACUGCCAAAGUGGUGGACACUUGUUGCAUUUGAGCCUACUGCUUUGAUGAUGUUAACCGAAUCUCAAGUAGCUGUUGCAGCCUAUAUUUUUUCGGAUACGUUAGAUCCUUCUGAAGAGUUGGUAAUCUCAGAUGAAAAGGGUUACAGAAGUACCUUUAGAUGUCUUGUCCCAGAGAGAUGUGUCGAAUCACGAGUUAUAAACCUGGUGGCACUUAUGAUGACACGUAUAUUUCGACGUAGGAAUGAGGAUCCAAUUUGCUGGUUCAUGCCUACACAUUUUGCACGAUAUGCUUUAAGCGACAAAUAUACACCGGCAGAGGUUAUCUUUGAUUUUCUUGGAGCAUAUAUGUCACUGAAAAUUAGCCACGUCAUUAGGGUGUUUAUCCCUAUCUGUGAGGAACUACAUUGGUAUUUGGUUAUUGUUGACUUUACGAGUCGUCGCCUAAUCAUAUUGGAUUCACUGCCUUCUGUCGAAAAAUAUCAACAACGCAAAAGGAACGCAAUUAAAGUGGCAACUUAUUUAGAAGCGAUGUUAGAUGAUCAUAUUUUUGAGGAUGAUAAGUCUAAAGUUGUAGAUUGCUCCACUUUUUGGCCUAUGACACCUUUUGGCCUACCCACUCAAAAAAAUAGAUCGAAUGAUAGCAGAGUUUGGGUGACCGGUUGGAUGAGAGAAUGUACUUUACAAGAUGACUUCAACAUUCAGAUUAACGACUCCACACGAAUGAGACUUGCCGUGGAUCUGGUUUUAGAGGAGUACAACGAUUUGUGUCUCGUAAUACAAGAAAAUGCUUGGCAAUAUAGGACCAAGGUGGAAGCAGAGCAUGAAGACAUUUAGAAAUAAGGA